GACAAUAAUGUUUAACCAAAUAAACGAAAAGUACAAAUUUUAGUGAGUAAAAAUAACAAUUAUCGUGAAGAAAAAAAAUAACAUUUGACAAACAUUAUAUUUUCAUAUAUCGAUUAUUAUGUUUUAUUAUAAUAAUAAUUAUUUUAAAUUCUCCGUACCUAAUCCGUCCUGUAGAGCUGACCCGUCUCACUUAUAUAGUCGGUCUCAC
rnacentral:lncRNA from 1 species